rnacentral:rRNA from 1 species
UCCGGAGGGGGCAACCGUUAUUCGGAUUUACUGGGCGUAAAGCGCACGCAGGCGGCAUGGUAAGUCAAAGGUGAAAGCCCUCGGCUCAACCGAGGAACUGCCUUUGAAACUGCUUUGCUUGAGUCCGGGAGGGGGGAGCGGAAGUCCCAGUGUAGCGGUGAAAUGCGUAGAUACUGGGAGGAACACCGGUGGCGAAGGCGGCUCCCUGGACCGGUACUGACGCUGAGGUGCGAAAGCGUGGGUAGCAAACAGG